GCAGUCGAACGAUACUCUUUAGCUUGCUAGAGAGGAAAGUGGCGCACGGGUGCGUAACGCGUAUGCAACCUACCUUAAUCAGGGGGAUAGCCCGAAGAAAUUCGGAUUAACACCGCAUAAAAUCACAGUACAGCAUUGUACAAUGAUCAAAUAUUUAUAGGAUUAAGAUGGGCAUGCGUGACAUUAGUUAGUUGGCGGGGUAACGGCCCACCAAGACCACGAUGUCUAGGGGAUCUGAGAGGAUGACCCCCCACACUGGUACUGAGACACGGACCAGACUCCUACGGGAGGCAGCAGUAAGGAAUAUUGGUCAAUGGAGGCAACUCUGAACCAGCCAUGCCGCGUGCAGGAAGACAGCCCUCUGGGUCGUAAACUGCUUUUAUUCGGGAAUAAACCUACUUACGUGUAAGUAGCUGAAUGUACCGAAGGAAUAAGGAUCGGCUAACUCCGUGCCAGCAGCCGCGGUAAUACGGAGGAUCCAAGCGUUAUCCGGAUUUAUUGGGUUUAAAGGGUGCGUAGGCGGCUUUUUAAGUCAGGGGUGAAAGACGGUGGCUCAACCAUCGCAGUGCCCUUGAUACUGAAGAGCUUGAAUGAACUAGAGGUAGGCGGAAUGUGACAAGUAGCGGUGAAAUGCAUAGAUAUGUCACAGAACACCGAUUGCGAAGGCAGCUUACUAUGGUUAAAUUGACGCUGAGGCACGAAAGCGUGGGGAUCAAACAGGAUUAGAUACCCUGGUAGUCCACGCCCUAAACGAUGAAUACUCGCUGUUAGCGAUACACAGUUAGCGGCUAAGCGAAAGCGUUAAGUAUUCCACCUGGGGAGUACGGUCGCAAGAUUGAAACUCAAAGGAAUUGACGGGGGCCCGCACAAGCGGAGGAGCAUGUGGUUUAAUUCGAUGAUACGCGAGGAACCUUACCCGGGCUUGAAAGUUAGUGAAUCAUUUAGAGAUAGAUGAGUCCGCAAGGACACGAAACUAGGUGCUGCAUGGCUGUCGUCAGCUCGUGCCGUGAGGUGUUGGGUUAAGUCCCGCAACGAGCGCAACCCCUAUGUUUAGUUGCCAGCACGUUAUGGUGGGGACUCUAAACAGACUGCCUGUGCAAACAGAGAGGAAGGAGGGGACGACGUCAAGUCAUCAUGGCCCUUACGUCCGGGGCUACACACGUGCUACAAUGGAUGGUACAGAGGGCAGCAAGCUGGCAACAGCAAGCAAAUCUCCAAAAGCCAUUCACAGUUCGGAUAGAGGUCUGCAACUCGACCUCUUGAAGUUGGAUUCGCUAGUAAUCGUAUAUCAGCAAUGAUACGGUGAAUACGUUCCCGGGCCUUGUACACACCGCCCGUCAAGCCAUGGAAGUUGGGGGUACCUAAAGUA
rnacentral:rRNA from 1 species